rnacentral:rRNA from 1 species
ACUCCUACGGGAGGCAGCAGUGGGGAAUAUUGCACAAUGGGGGAAACCCUGAUGCAGCCAUGCCGCGUGUGUGAAGAAGGCCUUCGGGUUGUAAAGCACUUUCAGUAGGGAGGAAGGUAGUGUAGUUAACACCUGCAUUAUUUGACGUUACCUACAGAAGAAGCACCGGCUAACUCCGUGCCAGCAGCCGCGGUAAUACGGAGGGUGCGAGCGUUAAUCGGAAUUACUGGGCGUAAAGCGCAUGCAGGCGGCCUGUUAAGUCAGAUGUGAAAGCCCGGGGCUUAACCUCGGAAUUGCAUUUGAAACUGGCAGGCUAGAGUCUUGUAGAGGGGUAGAAUUU